GGCGGAUCAGAUCAGAAAUAGCAACUGGAAUUUGAAGCCAGGUCUCUGCAACUUCAAAGUCCUUUCUCUCCAUCAUACCACCCUUCUUCUUUAAUAGGCCUUGUCUAAUUGCAAUGUCAUCUUUCCUCUGUACAUCCACUUCCCUGAAGAGUUCCUUCAUGUUGUCUGAGGCAUUGAGUGAGUAAAAAAAUCUGCAUAUCUCUGAGUUAGAAUUAUUCAGCUUAACUUUAGAUCUUGUAGUCCUUUGUUUCCUCCAUAAUAAUAGGAUAAAGAAAAAGACAGAGGAGUUCUGCUUUCCAAUGCCUUACAUCACCCAGACAGUUGGCAGCCAGGAGUCAGGCAGCUGCCACACUCUCCACGUAUCUAUUUAAAGUUCAAAGAGACACUGGAUAACAAUAACAAAGAGGUAAGCGUGGCCCUGACCAGCCCACCCAACAACAGGAAGAAUGGCUGAAAAAGAGGCUACAUUAUCUCGCUUUGUGGUCCCUAUUCUUCUCUUAAUUGGCUGGAUUGUGGGAUGCAUUGUAAUGGUGUAUGUUGUCUUCUCUUAGAAAGGCCAGAAGACUUCAGAUUGACAUCAUUUAGAAGAAUUGAGAAAAGCAUGAAAUGACAGAUUAUUAAAUGUUUCUCAUGUAAAUAACUGCAAUGUUUGACAUCAGUUUAUAAACUUGCAUUUGUAAACUGUCA